rnacentral:rRNA from 1 species
AGAGUCCUACGGGGGGCAGCAGUGAGGAAUAUUGGUCAAUGGACGCAAGUCUGAACCAGCCAUGCCGCGUGCAGGAAGACGGCUCUAUGAGUUGUAAACUGCUUUUGUACGAGGGUAAACGCAGAUACGUGUAUCUGUCUGAAAGUAUCGUACGAAUAAGGAUCGGCUAACUCCGUGCCAGCAGCCGCGGUAAUACGGAGGAUUCAAGCGUUAUCCGGAUUUAUUGGGUUUAAAGGGUGCGUAGGCGGGACCUUAAGUCAGCGGUAAAAUUGCGGUGCUCAACGCCGUAGAGCCGUUGAAACUGG